AGCCCACCCUAACUCCACUUCUCACCAUAUUUCCAUUCACUACAAAGCCCUCCCUAACUCCCCUCCUCACUACAUUUACUCUUUAACAAAUUCUCAUUCCCUUCACUCUGUGAGCGAUCUUCUCCUGACACCUGUUCGUUCACGCUCUGUUAGCUCCCAUCUACAAGAUUUCUCUGCCCCAUUCCUUUCGCUCUCCUGUCCCGUCAGACUCUCCCCUAGGCUCCAGGCCUGAAGUCCUGAAAGCUCAC